rnacentral:misc_RNA from 1 species
CGUCAUCCAUCCAUCAUCACUGCCGCUGCCGCCAUCACCACCACACGGCCACCACCCAUCCUCCUGCCUCAUCGAUCACCCCGCUCUCGCUGCUCACUGCCUCCCCUUCCUCGUUUCGUUUUCCCUGCUCGAUACACGCAAGCGCAGGCACGCGCAUAUAUCGACCGUGUCGCUGUUAGCGUCAUCUGUUGCUGCUCAGUCGCGUCCGCGCCCCAAUGGUUCUUAUCGCCUCCUGCAAUGCGUUGUACUUCCCGCGCGAACCACGGGAUAACGUACUCAAGGUGCGGUGGAACGCGCAGGACGCGCCGCUCGAGCCGAACACGAGCGUCAUCUUCAAGGUCAAGUGCACGGCGCCGCACCUGUUCCAUGCACUGCCACGCUACGGCGCACUUCUCCUUGCCGACGCCACCGGGGCCGCAACGCCGAGCUCGAAUCAGACGACAACGAUCACGUUCAGCCUUCGCGAGAGUCACGGCUGCGGCGCUGGGGAGAUUUCCCCGACGGGCGUGAGCCGGCAGACCGCGCCGACGACGACGCGCACAUCGCGGGCCUCGAGCGCCACGCCCGGCGGCCCAGCGUACCAGGAGCGCUUCGCCAUCGAGUACGUGAUGAUCAAGUCGGAGCCGCUCGCCUUUCAGCAGAUAUCGAACAGUGUCGCCGACGCGGCGCAGCUGACGGAGGUGGUGAAAAAUAUGUGGUCCCUCGUUGCCUCCGGUGCUAUCCCGCGGGCACACCUCGGCGUUCAGGCCGGGAUCAACCUGAAAGUGUACAUGGAGAACGUGGUGCUGCAGCCCAGUGACCCGGCUCCGAGUGGCGGCAACGAGGCCACGAAGGUUGUCGUUCCGCCCGAGGCCUGCCUCGUUCUGCCGACGGCGUCGGAGCGGCAAGGCCGCAGCGUCCACGACGUCACCCACCCUGGCCGUAGCCGGCCUGCUUUGGACCCGUCCCCGCGGGUUUACAACGGUGGCGACGGUGCAGACCACCUAGGCAGCACCUCCUCCGUCUUCCGACGCAAGCCCGCUGAUGAGCUGCGUGCCCUUCGUGAGGAGAUCAAUACGAUGCGUCGCGAGUCCGCCACACCACGCAGCGCGGCCGGCGGCAGUGUGCGCAACAGCUCUUCGCCGUCUUCCAACACACCGAAUAGCAAGCCGCGUGGGCACGAGGGAGCUGCAGCAAUGCAGCCGCUCCCCGCUCAUCGUGCUGCCGGCGCCAGAAGCUAUGAGGACCUGAUUAUGAAGUUCGACCUGGGUGGCGCGGCGAGUCGAGCUGGCGCCCCAGCUGCGCAGAAGAAAGAGGGCCUCAAGGUGUACAUGGUGCUACUGCUGAUGUCCGCCCUGUACGUGUGCCUGCUUUUCAUGCGUCGCGGUGCAACACACGCUGAGGGCGUCAAGAACGGCAGCGGCAACGGCGCGGAUGCGGCGGAACAAAGGUACGCCGUUCAGCUAUCAUCGAGGGAGUUGCAGAUGAGGAAGUAGCGGAUGCACACGUACACACACGUCGACGAGCGCGUGGGACGGUGGAGGGGCGCAGGCAUGCAGGCGCGGGCGCGUCGUCGUGCACAGGAAGCUGUGUGAGAGGAGGGGCUCAGAAAGCGGUAAACGGACGCAAGUGCACCUUCACCGUGCUCCUUCCAUCUGUCUGUGCGUCUCCGUCGGCGUGUAUCGCCUGUUACCGCUGGCGUCUUGCCCUCUCUCCACCGCCGCCGCACACGCACCCCUCACUUACACACACUAUCGGCAUCCGAUCGUGUCGUUCCACCGUCUUACGGGUGAAGUCAACGCUGAUGUCGCGUGUGGGGGGACGAAGCUCAAGCGUGCAAGGGGUGCGUGCGUGUCGCUGACCUUGUGAGCUGAAGUCGAUCAACGAUCAGACAAUGUGGACCACGGAUGAUGGCGUACACCUGACGAGAAGUUGUUGAGGGGGAAGUUGGAACGACGAUGCCCGGGGCCGAAGGCGGAGGUAUCGGACUCUGCGUUGCACGGUGCCACAUGAGUGCGCAAGUGCAUAAGACCUGGAACGCUCCCCUCCCCCUUCACGCCCUCUGUUCUUUCCGUCUACGCACAGGCCACACAUGCGCGCCGGCGCAGAGUGGUGCCGCCGUGCCGUCCCGCCAAGCACAAGCGCCGCCCCCCCCCCACAAACUGUUUGCAGAAGGUGAAGCGUCGUGCGGCGGGACUACCCCGCGCGGUUUCUGACCCGGGGAAGAGAGCUUGAUCAGCCGACCUUCCAAGCUACUCGAGGACGAACUCAAGCGCCACACAGCAAAGGUCUUCCGCAUCAGGAGCACACCACUCAUGCUCCCGGGGGGGGGGGGGGGGGUUCGCCGCCGUCUACAAGAGCGGACGUGUAGCAGAUCGCGGCAGCAGAUAUGUCUGUCAUCGGGCAAGCUGUGGCUCAGAUGAAGACGAACAUGGAAGCGGUCGUCAAGCAUUUGCGCCACCACAGAGGUCCACCGCGAAGAGAGCAACAAUGGCAGUCCAAGCGAGGCAACGGGGACCGCAAGGGUGGAGGCCAAUAAUGCUAGCAGCAACAGCAGCCUCCUGUUCCUGCACGGCGCCCUCCGCACGCCGGCCUGCCACUGUAUCUCGGUGCAAAGGCCGGGUGUUCCACAUCGAAGGGAGGCCCAAUACGUGAGGGGCAGAGUCAAGCGGAUCGAAGAGCGCAGGAGCGGGUCACACCACAGAGUGACGGCGAAACCGCUCGAGGCUAUGCGAUGGUGUGUGUGGGGUGGGUGGUUGGGGAGGAGGAGUGCACACGGUCGUAGAGCAGCAGAAGACUUGACGUUGCCUUUGCUCCGAAGUACGUAUCCCCCCCCCGUUAUGCGAGUGGGGAAGCGAGAAGCUAGCCACGCGGCCUGGGCGGUGGCAAGCCGCCCUCAACAUUCUUUCUCGCCUUCAGCGCUGGCUGUGGGAAGGGCGGCUUGAAGCGCAGCUAUGGCGGAGGAGGCGCUGCUUGGAAUUCUAGACCGGUGUUGGUCCGUGUCCCGCUAAGCACCCACCACCCCUACACACCGCCAUCGGACGGAUCCUGCAGCGAUCAGCUAUACAGCUGACGUCGGGCAGCGCACAGGCCCACCGCUCAGGUUGCUUCCUCGAGCCUCUUUGCUCACCCUGACGCUGGGCGGACCACUUCCGACGUGCAGCGCACGCAUACACAUACACACACACACACACACACGGGGCUGGAACCAAUCAAAAUGCAGUGCUCAUACGCCCCCAUAGGUGAGUACAAGGAUGGGGGGCCGAAGUCUGGCCUUUGGCUACGAGUCUGCGGGACGGGCAGAUGUGGCCGGUGAGCAUAGCGAAGGCGCGGCGCAAGUCGUCAUCCCUAAAGAUGGCAGAAUGCGGAAAAAGCGCAUGUGCAGCGAGCAGGCGUGCGCCAGCAAUGAGUGCGCAGUACCAUGGCGCAGGCACACGCAGACGCGAGACGUGCAUCAGCAGCUGCACAGACAGAAAGGGGAGGGGAAGUAGAAGAGGGCGAGCUGCGUUGUUGUGCCGUGCGUUGGGUAUCGGCCACUCCAAACCCCUCCCGAUGCCCCUCUGCAUUGGUCUAUUUCCGGCGUUGUCUCCGCGGCUUUUCGCCGCGCCUGUGUGUGUGUGUGUAUCUUUGGUUUCCGCCGUUGGCGUUUAUGCGUGUGUG